rnacentral:lncRNA from 10 species
CUGAGAGCCAUGGAGCCGCUGGGUGCAACACUGUCCUGCCCGUGUGCAUGGAGCUGCUUACGUUGCCUGCACUGCUGCUGUCCUGUUCCCACAACUUCUGCAAACAGUGCCUGGAGCUGAUCUUGGUUUACCAGAAUUGCACCCAGGUCCAGGGAUGGUUCUGUUGUCCAGUGUGUAGGAAAUCACCACCAUAGCUCUGAGUAUGUGUUUAUCUCACCAUUCUUCGCCCACUGGUUUUAGACGCUACUGGCAUUUGCUGCCUCUCCGACGACUGAGCUUCUCGUGCACAGCUCCUUCCUCAUCUUCCCUCCCUGAGCAGGUCCA